AUCCUUUUGUGUUUCAUAAAUGUGAGGAUUGGGUUCUCACAUGUGAGUUGUGUGAGAUGUGCUUCCUUCAAACCCUGUUACAACAUCCAUACAUACCGUGUCUGUCA
rnacentral:snoRNA from 1 species